rnacentral:rRNA from 1 species
AAGGGCACCACAAGAACGCGUGGAGCAUGUGGCUUAAUUUGACUCAACGCGGGAAAUCUUACUGGGUCCGGACAUACUGAGGAUUGACAGGUGCUUUGUUAAACGUUGUAUUAUUUUAAAUUUAUUUAAUUUAAUGCAUGUUUAGCUUUAAAUAUGCAAGUUCUUUCAUGAUUGUGUGAUAGGUGGUGCAUGGCCGUUCUUAGUUCGUGGAGUGAUCUGUCUGCUUAAUUGCGUUUCAUGUUUGGAUUUUACUAAGACGCAUUCGUUUAAAAAUUUCUUAAAUGAAUGUUAACACAAAAUCAUAUAUGACAUAUAUUUAUUAAUUUAAAAAUUUUUUUUUUUUUAUUAUUAAUAUACUGUCAUUGAUUUUUGUCGUUAUAUUUAUUAGAUCUUUUUUUAUUUAACGUUUGCGCGGUACGAAUCCCGAAGGCAACGAACGUGACCG